AUGGCCGCCGCAGUCUGCCACUCCCCAGCUCGCCUCUCCAUCUCCUGCUCCUACUCUUCCUCCCACUCCGCGCCUGCGCGCCCGCUGCGCGUGGCCGUGGUGGGCGGCGGCCCGGCCGGCGCGUCGGCGGCCGAGGCGCUGGCUUCUGCAGGCGCCCAGGCGUUCCUCCUGGAGCGCAGUCCCGCGGGGGCCAAGCCCUGCGGCGGCGCCAUCCCGCUCUGCAUGCUCGACGAGUUUGCCAUCCCGCUGGGGCUCGUGGACCGCCGUGUCACCCGCAUGCGCGUCCUCUCCCCCUCCAACCUCGCCGCCGACUUCGGGCGGUCGCUCCCCCCCGGCGCCCAUAUCCCCAUGCUCCGCCGCGAGGUGCUCGACUCCUUUCUCCGCACCCGCGCCGCCGACGCCGGCGCCACCCUCGUCCCGGGCCUCGUUACCUCGCUGUCCCUCCCCACGGGCCCCAGCGACCCGUACCUCGUCCACUACAUCUCGUCCGGCGACGGCCCCUCACCCACUCGGAGCGUCCUUGAGGUCGACGCCGUCGUGGGCGCGGACGGCGCGAACAGCCGGGUCGCCCGGGAGGUCGGCGCGGGCGACUACUCGACGGCCAUCGCCUUCCAGGAGCGCAUCCGGCUCCCCGACAAGGCCAUGGAGUACUACGACGACCUCGCGGAGAUGUACGUGGGCGGGGACGUGUCCCCGGACUUCUACGGCUGGGUGUUCCCCAAGUGCGACCACGUGGCCGUCGGGACCGGCACCGUGGCCGCCAAGCCGGAGAUCAAGAAGCUGCAGUCGGGCAUCCGGGCGCGGGCGGGGCCCAAGAUCGCCGGGGGGCGCGUGAUCAAGGUGGAGGCGCACCCGAUCCCGGAGCACCCGCGGCCGCGGCGCGUGGUGGGGCGCGUGGCCCUGGUCGGCGACGCGGCGGGGUACGUGACCCGGUGCUCCGGCGAGGGCAUCUACUUCGCGGCCAAGUCCGGGCGGCUGUGCGGGCAGGCGAUGGCCAAGGAGUGGCGGCUGACGGGCGCGGUGACGGAGGGCGGGAUCAGGCGCGGGUACCUGCGGCGGUGGGACGACGAGUUCCUGCUGACGUUCCGGUUCCUGGACCUGCUGCAGCGUGUGUUCUACGGCGACAACGCCGGGCGCGAGGCGCUGGUGGAGAUGUGCGCGGACGAGCACGUGCAGCGCCGGACGUUCGACUGCUACCUGCACAAGCGGAUGGCGCCCGGCGAGCCGUGGGCCGACCUCCAGCUGCUGUGGCGCACCGCCGGCAGCAUGGUGCGAUGCAGCGUCCUCGGCAAGGAGGUCCAGCGCCUCCGCCGGCUCGAGCUGCUGCAGGCUUAG
rnacentral:rRNA from 1 species